rnacentral:rRNA from 1 species
GUGAGGAAUAUUGGUCAAUGGGCGCAAGCCUGAACCAGCCAUGCCGCGUGCAGGAAGACGGUCCUAUGGAUUGUAAACUGCUUUUAUUUGGGAAUAAACUCCGGUACGUGUACCGGCCUGAAGGUACCAAAUGAAUAAGCACCGGCUAACUCCGUGCCAGCAGCCGCGGUAAUACGGAGGGUGCAAGCGUUAUCCGGAAUCAUUGGGUUUAAAGGGUCCGCAGGCGGUCUUAUAAGUCAGUGGUGAAAGCCUACAGCUCAACUGUAGAACUGCCAGAGAUACUGUAGGACUUGAAUUCGAUCGAAGUGGGCGGAAUGAGACAUGUAGCGGUGAAAUGCUUAGAUAUGUCACAGAACACCGAUAGCGAAGGCAGCUCACUAGGUCUGGAUUGACGCUCAGGGACGAAAGCGUGGGGAGCAAACAGGAUUGGAAACCCGAGUAGUCC